GCUGUGGCUCAAGUGGUAGAGCACCAGCCUUGAAUUAAAAAAGCCAAUAGAGAGCUGGAGGCCCUGAGUUCAAGUCCCAGUAUUGGCA
rnacentral:tRNA from 1 species